rnacentral:rRNA from 1 species
GACGAACGCUGGCGGCGUGCUUAACACAUGCAAGUCGAACGAAGAGCGAUGGAAGCUUGCUUCCAUCAAUCUUAGUGGCGAACGGGUGAGUAACGCGUAAUCAACCUGCCCUUCAGAGGGGGACAACAGUUGGAAACGACUGCUAAUACCGCAUACUAUCUAACCUCGGCAUCGAGGAUAGAUGAAAGGUGGCCUCUACAUGUAAGCUAUCACUGAAGGAGGGGAUUGCGUCUGAUUAGCUAGUUGGAGGGGUAACGGCCCACCAAGGCGAGGAUCAGUAGCCGGACGGAGAUGAUGGACGGCCACAUUGGGACUGAGACACGGCCCAGUCUCCUACGGGAGGCAGCAAGGGGGAAACUUCCGCAAUGGACGAAAGUCUGACGGAGCAACGCCGCGUGAGUGAUGACGGCCUUCGGGUUGUAAAGCUCUGUUAAUCGGGACGAAAGGCCUUCUUGCGAAUAGUGAGAAGGAUUGACGGUACCGGAAUAGAAAGCCACGGCUAACUACGUG